GACGUGCUAAUCUGCGAUAAGCGUCGGUAAGGUGAUAUGAACCGUUAUAACCGGCGAUUUCCGAAUGGGGAAACCCAGUGUGAUUCGUCACACUAUCAUUAACUGAAUCCAUAGGUUAAUGAGGCGAACCGGGGGAACUGAAACAUCUAAGUACCCCGAGGAAAAGAAAUCAACCGAGAUUCCCCCAGUAGCGGCGAGCGAACGGGGAGCAGCCCAGAGCCUGAAUCAGUGUGUGUGUUAGUGGAAGCGUCUGGAAAGGCGUGCGAUACAGGGUGACAGCCCCGUACACAAAAAUGCACAUACUGUGAGCUCGAUGAGUAGGGCGGGACACGUGGUAUCCUGUCUGAAUAUGGGGGGACCAUCCUCCAAGGCUAAAUACUCCUGACUGACCGAUAGUGAACCAGUACCGUGAGGGAAAGGCGAAAAGAACCCCGGCGAGGGGAGUGAAAAAGAACCUGAAACCGUGUACGUACAAGCAGUGGGAGCACGCUUAGGCGUGUGACUGCGUACCUUUUGUAUAAUGGGUCAGCGACUUAUAUUCUGUAGCAAGGUUAACCGAAUAGGGGAGCCGAAGGGAAACCGAGUCUUAACUGGGCGUUAAGUUGCAGGGUAUAGACCCGAAACCCGGUGAUCUAGCCAUGGGCAGGUUGAAGGUUGGGUAACACUAACUGGAGGACCGAACCGACUAAUGUUGAAAAAUUAGCGGAUGACUUGUGGCUGGGGGUGAAAGGCCAAUCAAACCGGGAGAUAGCUGGUUCUCCCCGAAAGCUAUUUAGGUAGCGCCUCGUGAAUUCAUCUCCGGGGGUAGAGCACUGUUUCGGCAAGGGGGUCAUCCCGACUUACCAACCCGAUGCAAACUGCGAAUACCGGAGAAUGUUAUUACGGGAGACACACGGCGGGUGCUAACGUCCGUCGUGAAGAGGGAAACAACCCAGACCGCCAGCUAAGGUCCCAAAGUCAUGGUUAAGUGGGAAACGAUGUGGGAAGGCCCAGACAGCCAGGAUGUUGGCUUAGAAGCAGCCAUCAUUUAAAGAAAGCGUAAUAGCUCACUGGUCGAGUCGGCCUGCGCGGAAGAUGUAACGGGGCUAAACCAUGCACCGAAGCUGCGGCAGCGACGCUUAUGCGUUGUUGGGUAGGGGAGCGUUCUGUAAGCCUGUGAAGGUGUGCUGUGAGGUAUGCUGGAGGUAUCAGAAGUGCGAAUGCUGACAUAAGUAACGAUA
rnacentral:rRNA from 1 species